rnacentral:tRNA from 1 species
UCCCUGGUGGCUCAGAUGGUAAAGCAUCCAUCUACAAUGUGGGAGACCCAGGUUUGAUCCCUGGGUUGGGAA